GAAUUUCUGCUUCAAACUGGAAAUAAACUCUGCUAAAUCUGUCUUUUGGAGGAGCUCAUUGAGAAUAAGCUUGAUGGGUUUAUCAUCCCUCUGUUACAAGGGAAUAUCCUGAAGCUUUUCAAUGCUUAUUUUGUGUGUGUGUGCGCGCGCAUGUGUUUAUGCAUGAGCACAUGCGUGCGUGUUAAAGGUAACUAUGGAUGCAAGAGUAGUUUCUUAUUUAUGGUGUUUUCACUUAACCAAGGCAUAAGCUAUCAGACUGGACAACUCAAGCUGAAAAAUUCCCCAGCCAUAAUUACUUUAAUUUCAAGGAGGUGUACACGGCGCCUAGGUAGUGCAAUAUAGACAUCACUGGUUUUUGUUCCUAUUAAUAUGGCUAUGGCAAAACAUUGUAGUAAGUGGUUGUUAUGUUGAAUGGAGGGACCCGAAUGUGGAGAAGAGGGGCUAACCUUGAAGGUUCUAUGUCUUCAUUUUUACAGAUUCAAGGUUCAAUUCCACUCCUUUGGGAGCAAAUUGUUGAUUUGAGCUAUAAACCACGACUUAAUAUUAUUGAUCAUGAGCAAACAGUAUGUAUUUUCUUCUGGAUACAGCUCUUUAUGUUUAAGUUGUGUAAUGAUGAGCAUCUAACUGUGUUUUUCUUCCUUUAGUCAAAGGUUGUGGAGCGCCAUUUUCAUGAUAUUAUAGAAAGAUACGGAGAGACCGUAAAAGUUGACCUAACCGAUAAGGUAAGACUUUCCAGCACCACACUAGGACAUUAACCUGGGGCGUAGUUUCAAUAUGAUUUUCUUGCUGGAAGUGGAGAAAUCCAGGUAGCAAAUAAGAAUGUUGUUCUUUGAAGUCUAUUUUUUUAGACUUUCAAUAUGAUCAACUUUUUGUUUCUUCUUCAACCACCAUUAUCACGUGCAAUUAGGAAGGAUAAGAUUUUCCGGGCUCGCUGAAAUUUGAGAGAUAGAUUGAAUCAUAGCAGCUUUUCAUUUUUUAUGGAAAAUCUAUGCAUAUUACAUAUCAUUUUCACAUGCUCUGUUUCUAAAUGAAAACAUCAU